rnacentral:lncRNA from 1 species
GCAACUGCAGGCUACCAGAGCAGCUGCAUCCCUGGUCCCUGGGGAAGGGGAGCUGCCAUGGGGGUGGUGGGGAAGCCCUUUUCCAAACCCACACUCUACCGGGGACCCUCACUGAAGGUGACAGUGGAAUCCACCAGGGUCCCGGGGUGGGCGUGGAGCAGGCACAGCUCCUCAUUCAGGCUGGAGAGGGGCGUGGAGAGGCCGCCAGGUGAUGCAAAGGGAGCAAUGGCAUCACAGGGUCUACAGGAGACCCCAGGUAUUCCUCCCUGCCAAUGGACACCAUCCUCAAAGAGUGCCUCACUGAUUUUUGUCCUGACUCCUCUGGCCAUCUCCUCCUCUGGCACAUUCCUACAGCAAGACACGUCAGAUGGGGAAACUGAGGCACAGAGACUUCCGAGAACUGCCCAAACCGUCACAGACCAUUAGCUUCCCCAUGGCUUCCUCAGAACUGCCAAUCCCCUACCUGUCCCCUCCAGCCUCAGCCCCUGCCCUGAGUUUAAACCUCAGGAGGACCACGACCUCUGUCCUCACCAGCUGGAAGCCCAGGUCCCCCCUCUAACUAGCCAUGCGAACUGGGCAAAUAACCAGACCUCCUUAGUUCUGAUUCUGCUUCUGGAAAAUGGAAACAAU